rnacentral:tRNA from 1 species
GUCACUUUGGCGGAGAUCGGUUAACGCGCUGCCCUGCUAAGGCAGUUGCCUUCGGGAGCGUAGGUUCGAAUCCUACAGGUGACG